rnacentral:misc_RNA from 1 species
UAAUAAGUGUUUAUGGCACUUUUUAAAUCCAUAUCCACCUUGUGUGCAAUGUCAGUCGUUUUCUUUAUGAAAACGGCCAAACAUCAACUUAUUAUUUUAACUAUCUGUCUGAAAACUAUUAUGAAUAAACAAUUCAAAUA